rnacentral:rRNA from 1 species
GAUGAACGCUAGCGGCAGGCCUAAUACAUGCAAGACGAACGGUAAGUUUGAUAGCAAUAUUGAACCUAGAGUGUCGUAAGGGUGCGUAACACGUAUGCAAUCUACCCUCAACAGGAGGAUAGCUCCCCGAAAGGGGAAUUAACACUCCAUAAGAUCACAGGAUGGCAUCAUUCAGUGAUUAAAACUCCGGUGGUUGAGGAUGAGCAUGCGCAUGAUUAGUUAGUUGGCGGGGUAAUGGCCCACCAAGACGAUGAUCAUUAGGGGAACUGAGAGGUUGAUCCCCCACACUGGCACUGAGAUACGGGCCAGACUCCUACGGGAGGCAGCAGUAGGGAAUAUUGGACAAUGGGUGCGAGCCUGAUCCAGCCAUGCCGCGUGCAGGAAGACGGCCUCUGGUUGUAACUAGCUUUGUCCUAGGGAGUAAAAAGAACCAACUAGCGUGGUCGAAUUAGUAAGGUAACCGUACGGUGGAAUAAGACCACGGACGUAACUAACGUACCG